AUGGAAGCUUCACUCCGUUAUCGCAGAUUAUGGAUAUCUGCAUCAUUGUUAUUGUAGUUGCCAGUGAAUUUUGUGAUGAAAUGUUGGUUUCUAUGACCGGUAGUUGCUAGUGAAUUUUGUGAUUGCUCUCUCUCUCUCUCUCUCAUAUAAUAAAGAAACAGAAUAUACUUUUUUUUAUCGUAACCUUGUAAUUAACUUUCUUUGUGCGUUUGUGUGGAGUAUGGAGAUCAUGGGGAAUUUCAUCU